GAUGAAGAACGUAGCGAAAUGCGAUACGUAAUGUGAAUUGCAAAUUCAGUGAAUCAUCGAGUCUUUGAACGCACAUUGCGCCCCCUCGUAUUCCGGGGGGCAUGCCUGUCCGAGCGUCAUUGCUGCCCUCAAGCACGGCUUGUGUGUUGGGCCCCGUCCUCCGAUCCCGGGGGACGGGCCCGAAAGGCAGCGGCGGCACCGCGUCCGGUCCUCGAGCGUAUGGGGCUUUGUCACCCGCUCUGUAGGCCCGGCCGGCGCUUGCCGAUCAACCCAAAUUUUUAUCCAGGUUGACCUCGGAUCAGGUAGGGAUACCCGCUGAACUUAAGCAUAUCAAUAAGCGGAGGA
rnacentral:misc_RNA from 1 species